UACAGAGGUCUCAAGCGUUGUUCGGAUUCAUUGGGCGUAAAGGGUGCGUAGCGGCGCGGUAAGUCGGGUGUGAAAUCUCGGGGCUUAACUCCGAAACUGCAUUCGAUACUGGCGUGCUUGAGGACUGGAGAGGAGACUGGAAUUCAUGGUGUAGCAGUGAAAUGCGUAGAGAUCAUGAGGAAGACCAGUGGCGAAGGCGGGUCUCUGGACAGUUCCUGACACUGAGACACGAAGGCCAGGGGAGCAAACGGG
rnacentral:rRNA from 1 species